rnacentral:rRNA from 1 species
AGCUCCAAUAGCGUAUAUUAAAGUUGCUGCAGUUAAAAAGCUCGUAGUUGCAUUUCCGAGGCAAGGGAUUAGUCCGACCUUUGGUGGGUAUUUAAUCCUCUUGCCUCGUCCUUGAGUGGUGCUUCUUGGUAUUAAGUUAUCGAGGAGAUAGCCGCUCAUCGUUUACUGUGAGAAAAUUAGAGUGUUCAAAGCAGGCUUAUGCCGUUGAAUAUAUUAGCAUGGAAUAAUAAGAUAGGACCUCGGUACUAUUUUGUUGGUUUGAGAACCAAGGUAAUGAUGAAUAGGGACAGGUGGGGGUAUGCGUAUUCAGUUGUCAGAGGUGAAAUUCUUAGAUUUACGGAAGACGAACUACUGCGAAAGCAUUUACCAAGGAUGUUUUCA